rnacentral:rRNA from 1 species
GGCGCAGCGGUAAAUGUUAUAAUUUAGGGGUAAAGCACUGUUACGUAUGCGGGCUGGUAAUUCGGUACCAAAUCGUUGCAAACUAAGAAUACUAAAUGUACAAUUUACCAGUAAGACUGUGGGGGAUAAGCUCCAUUGUCAAGAGGGAAACAGCCCAGAGCACCAGUUAAGGCCCUUAAAUAAUUACUAAGUGAUAAAGGAGGUGGGAGUGCAUAGACAAUCAGGAGGUUUGCUUAGAAGCAGCAAUCCUUUAAAGAGUGCGUAAUAGCUCACUGAUCGAGUAAACCUGCGCCGAAAAUGUAUGGGACUAAGUAAUUUGCCGAAACUGUGCGAUAUAUAUUUAUAUAUCGGUAGGGGAGCGUUCUGUUGUAGGUCGAAGUAUUAGCGUAAGCGGGUAUGGACGAAGCAGAAGUGAGAAUGUCGGCUUGAGUAACGAAAAUAUAGGUGAGAAUCCUAUACCCCGAAAACCCAAGGUUUCCUCCGGAAGGCUCGUCCGCGGAGGGUAAGUCAGGACCUAAGGCGAGGCUGAAAAGCGUAGUCGAUGGACAACGGGUUAAUAUUCCCGUACCAUUUUUUAUUGAUAUCGAGGGACGGAGAAGGCUAAGCUAGCCGGAUAUUGGUUUUACCGGUUUAAACGUUCGAGAUGUUGAGAAGCGGAGAAAACGCUUUGAGUUGAGACGUGAAUACGAGACGCUAAGGCGUCGAAGUAGUGUAUGUCAUACUUCCAAGAAAAGCUUGCACUGUCAUAGAUAAAAAAUGCCUGUACCAUAACCGACACAGGUGGGUAGGUAGAGUAUACUAAGGGGCGCGAGAUAACUCUCUCUAAGGAACUCGGCAAAAUAACUCCGUAACUUCGGGAGAAGGAGUGCCUUAUUUAUAAGGUUGCAAUAACAAGAUCCAAGCAACUGUUUAUCAAAAACACAGGUCUCCGCUAAGUCGUAAGACGAUGUAUGGGGGCUGACGCCUGCCCAGUGCCAGAAGGUUAAAGAAGUCGGUUAGCGCAAGCGAAGCUGAUAACUGAAGCCCUGGUGAACGGCGGCCGUAACUAUAACGGUCCUAAGGUAGCGAAAUUCCUUGUCGGGUAAGUUCCGACCCGCACGAAAGGCGUAAUGAUUUGGAUACUGUCUCGGAGAGGGGCUCGGUGAAAUAGACUUGUCUGUGAAGAUGCGGACUACCUGCACCAGGACAGAAAGACCCUAUGAAGCUUUACUGUAACUUGAAAUUGAAAUUGGACUUUAUUCGCGCAGCAUAGGUGGGAGGCGUUGAUUAUAAUCUUGCGGGAUUAUUGGAGCCAUCAGUGAGAUACCACUCUUGUAAUGUUAGAUUUCUAACUUUGAAUCAUUAUCUGGUCAAAGGACAGUUUCAGGCGGGCAGUUUGACUGGGGCGGUCGCCUCCUAAACGGUAACGGAGGCGUACAAAGGUUUCCUCUGAACGGUUAGAAAUCGUAUCUAGAGUGUAAAGGCAUAAGGAAGCUUGACUGUGAGACCUACAAGUCGAGCAGGGACGAAAGUCGGUCUUAGUGAUCUGACGGUACUGAGUGGAAAGGCCGUCACUCAACGGAUAAAAGUUACUCUAGGGAUAACAGGCUGAUCUCCCCCAAGAGUUCACAUCGACGGGGAGGUUUGGCACCUCGAUGUCGGCUCAUCGCAUCCUGGGGCGGUAGUACGUCCCAAGGGUUGGGCUGUUCGCCCAU